rnacentral:rRNA from 1 species
GAGAUUUUCGCAAUGCCCGAAAGGGUGACGAUGCGACGCCGCGUGGAGGAUGAAGGCCUUCGGGUUGUAAACUCCUGUCAGGGCAAAAGAAGGGGAGGGGAGGAAACUCCCUGACCUUGACUCAGCCCAAAGGAAGCCCCGGCUAACUCCGUGCCAGCAGCAGCGGUAAGACGGAGAGGGCGAGCGUUGUUCGGAAUUACUGGGCGUAAAGAGCGCGUAGGCGGGUCCGUAUGUCAGGGGUGAAAGCCCCCGGCCCAACCGGGGAAUUGCCUCUGAAACUGCGGUCCUCGAGUGGAGCAGGGGGGAGUGGAACUCUCGGUGGAGCGGUGAAAUGCGUUGAUAUCGAGGGGAACGUCGGCGGCGAAGGCGACUCCCUAUGCUUCUACUGACGCUGAGGUGCGAAAGCCAGGGGAGCGAACGGGAUUAGAUACCCCGGUAGUCCUGGCCUUAAACGGUGGGCACUAAGUAGAGGGGUUUUA